rnacentral:piRNA from 1 species
UGUUCCUUGCUAUGUCCACAUUUUGGACCACA